rnacentral:rRNA from 1 species
UACAGAGGGUGCGAGCGUUGAUCGGAGUUACUGGGUGUAAAGGGCGCGUAGGCGGUUGAUUAAGUGAGAUGUGAAAUCCCUGGGCUUAACCUAGGAACUGCAUCUCAUACUGGUUAGCUAGGGUAUUGUAGAGGGUAGUGGAAUUUCCGGUGUAGCGGUGAAAUGCGUAGAGAUCGGAAGGAACACCAGUGGCGAAGGCGGCUACCUGGACAAAUACUGACGCUGAGGCGCGAAAGCGUGGGGAGCAAACAGG